rnacentral:tRNA from 1 species
GGGACUGUGCCCGAAUGUCUAGGGACCACUUUGAUAGAGUGACACAUAGAGGUUAAAAUCCUCUCGGCCCCU